UGCUGUGCAACUCAUUAAUAUUUUACCUUCCACAGUUUUAACAUAUUUUUCUCCAUCUCAGCUGUUACACAAUGUUAAACCUGACAUUACUUACUUGCGAGUUUUUGGCUCACUUUGCUAUGCUUCAACUCUUCAAGCACAUAGAACAAAAUUUCAACCUCGUGCAAGAAAAUGUGUUUUACUUGGUUUUAAAACAAGAGUGAAAGGCUACCUUUUGUUAGAUUUCAAUUCAAGGGAAAUUUUUCUAUCAAGGAAUGUAGUAUUUUAUGAAAACAUAUUUCCUUUUCUUACUAGUGACAAGCACUCACCUAUUGAUACACAAAAUUUAAAUUCAUUGGAUUUGGUCACCAAAAUUAAUUCAUCUCCAUCACCUCUUUUCUCAGAAGUUACUGAUCAACCCUCUUUACCACCUACAUCUCCUCCUUCUAUUGUUCCAGACCCUGUUAGUUUUUCUUCUCAACCUCUUUCUGUUGAACCUGCCACUGCUACUCCACAAAGGAAAUCAACUAGGCCAACACAUAAACCAUCUUAUUUGCAGGACUAUCAUUGCAACAUGUUAUCUACUUCUUCCGCCACUCAGUCAUCCACAGGUAUCUUAUAUCCUAUUGAUGAGUCAAUAUUUUCUUGACUUCACUUAGUUUAUUGUGCUUAAAUUAAUCAGGGAAUUGUGCUUAAAUGUCCAGUAUUUUCCCGUUUUCGCUUAUAGUGCUUAAUUUGACCGGAAAUUCUAAUUUUAAUUAAUUUGAAUUUUCUGAGCUAAUUAUUUGCAUUAUUAUUUUCAGGGAAAAUUUUGGAAACACAAUUUGGGACAUUUGGAGGACAACAAAAUAAUUCAAGACUCUCCGAUUAGACAUUUUAAAUUUUAGUUGUAUUGAAAAUUAAUUGUUUAAACUUUUUGAACAAACUUUUGCACAUUGGGCCAUUGUUUAAAAAUUAUGAAAGGGCCAAAAUUGUAGGACACUUGUCCUAGGGUUUCUUUUUAUUUUUUUAGGAUGGACCCCACCUCAUUUAGGGGACACACGUCCCUUGCUAGAAAACACCAGCCGUCAUACAUUGGGACUUGAAGUUGGCUCUCGGCGUUUUUUUCUUUGGCAGAGCUGGAACGAUUUUGUGGGGAAGAACUUGGAUGAUGUUCACUCUCAGGGGCAUUGGUUGAAUGAGAUAUGAAAUUACUCUUCCUUAAUUUAUUUUUGCUGAAGCCACAGUUUAAGUUUCAUUAUGCUAAUUUAUUUUUCUUUUAAAGAAAGAUGAGAUUGUUGCUUGAGGUUGGUGCUGCCACGGUACUGGAGUUUAUUUUGGAGGCAAAUGUUUCCUUUCUUCAUGGAGAAAAAUCACGUUGAUUCCAUUGCAUUAGAGUUGCUUUUCUUUAAAAAUUAAGCAUUUCAAUUCUCUCUCUUUAUGCAUACAUGAUGAUUAGAUGGGAUUAGGUGAGAGUUGGAAUGAUGAUGGAUUGACUUUUAUGUUUUUCUCUGAAUGCAAUGUACCGUGUGUGAUGCUUGGAAACUUUUAGUUUCAUUUGAAGAAUAAUGAAUGAGAGUGGUCACAUCAACUCUAGCUUGCAAAUUUUUAAUUAAUCUUAGGUGGCAUUUUUACUUCUUUCAUUUGGGAUUCAAGCACACGGUGAAGCAGCUGGAACGUGCUUUCUUUUCAUUCAUGGUGCAACGUUUUUUUAUUUUCAUUUAUUCUGCAGCAUUUUUAUAUUUGGAAGCAAAGAAUCAAAUUUGAUUUUGAAAGAGAGGCACGGUGGUGAUGAUUUUUUUUUUAAUUUUCUUUUGCAUUAGAAUCUUUUAUAUGAAUUGUUUUCUCUUAUUUUUUUUUUUUUACUUUAAGUAUUGCAAGCUUAACAUUUCACGGUAAUGUUAGAAUAGUUUUAUGCUUUUUAAUUUCUUUUGCAUUAUUAGAAUAUUUUCCAUGAAUUAUUUUGUUUCAUCUUUUUAAUUAAGUGUUACAAUUUUAAUAAUUUUUGUUGUACUUGAAUAUUUAUAUGUUGUAUUGUUCAGUCUAAUAUUUUCAUGCACUUUAAUGUUUUAAAUUAAAUUCAGUUGUGCUUAAUUUUUAUUUUUAAUUUCAUCAUUGCAUUCUCAAAAACACCUUCGAAACCCCCCCACUAUGUGUUAGACCUGAUUCUGAACCGCAGUUGGUCCUUGAGAGACGACCUAGGGGUCAUUCCCUAGCAUUAUACUGCAUUUCUAAAUUGCAAUUAAAUUUGUAUGGGCCGCCAUCACCUAUCUCUUCAUAUCUCUCAUAUGAUGCAUUAUCAUCUCUUCAUAAAUCAUAUGUCUUGAAUCUUUCCCAAGUUAGUGAACCUAAAACCUAUAACCAAGCCAUCAAACAUGAUUGUUGGAGAAAUGCCAUGGAUCAAGAAAUUGCAGCUUUAGAAAAUACCAAAACUUGGGUUUUGACUGAUCUACCUUAUGGAAAGCAACCUAUUGGAUG
rnacentral:lncRNA from 1 species